GUGGGGAAUCUUCCGCAAUGGACGAAAGUCUGACGGAGCAACGCCACGUGAGUGAUGAAGGUCUUCGGAUUGUAAAGCUCUGUUAAUCGGGACGAAAGAGCCUAGUGUGAAUAAUGCUAGGAAGUGACGGUACCGGAAUAGAAAGCCACGGCUAACUACGUGCCAGCAGCCGCGGUAAUACGUAGGUGGCAAGCGUUGUCCGGAAUUAUUGGGCGUAAAGCGCGCGCAGGCGGAUCUGCCAGUCUGUCUUAAAAGUUCGGGGCUUAACCCCGUGAUGGGAUGGAAACUACAGAUCUAGAGUAUCGGAGAGGAAAGUGGAAUUCCUAGUGUAGCGGUGAAAUGCGUAGAUAUUAGGAAGAACACCAGUGGCGAAGGCGACUUUCUGGACGAAAACUGACGCUGAGGCGCGAAAGCCAGGGGAGCGAACGGGAUUAGAAACCCCGGUAGUCC
rnacentral:rRNA from 1 species